AUUCUGCUGUGAUGAAUUAAGAACAAAUUCACAUGUCAGACUUCAGAGAUUUUUAUAAUCAAUGAGAAUGACAACUCUUAUUCACUGAGCAGAAA
rnacentral:snoRNA from 1 species